GAUGAACGCUGGCGGCGUGCCUAAUACAUGCAAGUCGAGCGAACAGACGAGGAGCUUGCUCCUCUGACGUUAGCGGCGGACGGGUGAGUAACACGUGGAUAACCUACCUAUAAGACUGGGAUAACUUCGGGAAACCGGAGCUAAUACCGGAUAUAUAUUGAACCGCAUGGUUCAAUAGUGAAAGACGGUUUUGCUGUCACUUAUAGAUGGAUCCGCGCCGCAUUAGCUAGUUGGUAAGGUAACGGCUUACCAAGGCAACGAUGCGUAGCCGACCUGAGAGGGUGAUCGGCCACAAUGGAACUGAGACACGGUCCAGACUCCUACGGGAGGCAGCAGUAGAGAAUCUUCCGCAAAGGGCGAAAGCUUGACGGAGCAACGCCGCGUGAGUGAUGAAGGUCUUCGGAUCGUAAAACUCUGUUAUUAGGGAAGAACAAAUGUGUAAGUAACUAUGCACGUCUUGACGGUACCUAAUCAGAAAGCCACGGCUAACUACGUG
rnacentral:rRNA from 1 species